rnacentral:lncRNA from 10 species
CCAAGACCUCGUAACCUGAGGCAACUUCUCUUUUCUUUUCCAGUUUGCUGGAGAUCCUUCACGAACAGCUUCCUGAGAGUACCAAGAGAUGCUAGGUUAAUGGAGUUCACUUCAUAGGGGUGGGGGAGCUAGAAGUAGAUGGUACCUACAUAACCAGCCCUCUGUAAAAUCCUUGGGUACUGAGCCUCAGAGUUCUCCUGGAAGGUAACACAGAUCAUAACUUGUUGCUGGAGGGAUUAAGCACAUCCUGUGUGACUCCACUGUGAGAAGACUCUCCAAAGCCUGUAUCUGGACUUCAUCAUCCCCUGUCCCUUUUCCCUUUGUCGAUUUUGUUUUGUAUCUGAAUCUUCAGUACAAUAAAUCUUAGCUGUGAAUACAACCAUAUGCUGAGUCCUGUGAG